GUUUCCGUAGUGUAGCGGUUAUCAUAUUCGCUUCACACGCGAAACGUCCCCGGUUCAAAACCGCGCGAAGACA